UGCUAUGACAGGUUAUUCCCAAAGUGCAA
rnacentral:piRNA from 1 species